GCGCCCUUAGCUCAGUUGGAUAGAGCAACGACCUUCUAAGCCGUGGGCCGCAGGUUCGAAUCCUGCAGGGCGCGCCA
rnacentral:tRNA from 2 species